AGACCCGAAACCCGGUGAUCUAGCCAUGGGCAGGUUGAAGGUUGGGUAACACUAACUGGAGGACCGAACCGACUAAUGUUGAAAAAUUAGCGGAUGACCUGUGGCUGGGGGUGAAAGGCCAAUCAAACCGGGAGAUAGCUGGUUCUCCCCGAAAGCUAUUUAGGUAGCGCCUCGUGAAUUCAUCUCCGGGGGUAGAGCACUGUUUCGGCUAGGGGGCCAUCCCGGCUUACCAACCCGAUGCAAACUGCGAAUACCGGAGAAUGUUAUCACGGGAGACACACGGCGGGUGCUAACGUCCGUCGUGAAGAGGGAAACAACCCAGACCGCCAGCUAAGGUCCCAAAGUCAUGGUUAAGUGGGAAACGAUGUGGGAAGGCCCAGACAGCCAGGAUGUUGGCUUAGAAGCAGCCAUCAUUUAAAGAAAGCGUAAUAGCUCACUGGUCGAGUCGGCCUGCGCGGAAGAUGUAACGGGGCUAAACCAUGCACCGAAGCUGCGGCAGCGACACUGUGUGUUGUUGGGUAGGGGAGCGUUCUGUAAGCCUGUGAAGGUGUGUCGUGAGGCAUGCUGGAGGUAUCAGAAGUGCGAAUGCUGACAUAAGUAACGAUAAAGCGGGUGAAAAGCCCGCUCGCCGGAAGACCAAGGGUUCCUGUCCAACGUUAAUCGGGGCAGGGUGAGUCGACCCCUAAGGCGAGGCCGAAAGGCGUAGUCGAUGGGAAACGGGUUAAUAUUCCCGUACUUGGUGUUACUGCGAAGGGGGGACGGAGAAGGCUAUGUUGGCCGGGCGACGGUUGUCCCGGUUUAAGCGUGUAGGUGUGUGUUCCAGGUAAAUCCGGUUCACUUUAACACUGAGGCGUGACGACGAGGCACUACGGUGCUGAAGCAACAAAUGCCCUGCUUCCAGGAAAAGCCUCUAAGCAUCAGGUAACAUCAAAUCGUACCCCAAACCGACACAGGUGGUCAGGUAGAGAAUACCAAGGCGCUUGAGAGAACUCGGGUGAAGGAACUAGGCAAAAUGGUGCCGUAACUUCGGGAGAAGGCACGCUGACACGUAGGUGAAGUGAUUUACUCAUGGAGCUGAA
rnacentral:rRNA from 4 species